GACAUGAGAUGACAUCAUUAACCUUGGCUUACUAUGACUUUUUUUUUUUUUGUCUUUUUGAGACAGGGUCUCGCUCUGCAGUUCAGGCUGGCCUUGAGCUCACUCUGUAGCCCAGGCUGGUCUCGAACUCACAACGAUCAUCGCUCACGGGACUGACUCGUGUUCACAGUACUGUUGUUCUUCACUGUCAUUGGCUGAGGUCGGGAGGGGACAGGACCAGGCUGAUCGCUCCAACCUGUCCCCGCUCUUCUACCCUCGCCUUGCUUCUGCAGAAGCAGAACAGAGGUUCAGAGCAAGAGGCCCUCGGCUUCGGAAGAGCGGGGACCGCACGCAGAAACGGAGCCGUGACUGCAGCCUGAGAUAGACAGACGCGGGCGAGGACAGACGGCCCACCCGGAACAGUUCCCCGCUUCCUCCGUGCCGCUGCCCCUUACACCCCUUACUCUGGGUGGCAGCUGCUCUCCCAGGGCUGCAGAGCCGGGACCCUUCUCAGGUCUGUAACCCAAUAAAGCCUGCCCUGCUGCCAGCAGUCCAGGCUGGCCUUGAACUCACUCUGUAGCCCAGGCUGAGCCAGCACAGGUCCUUUGGGGCCACACAGCUCAAGACCAGCCUGAACAACAAAGCAAGACCUUGUA
rnacentral:lncRNA from 1 species